GUCUUUCAACAUGGUGCACGGCUAACACUUCCCUGAAGGUCAGCGCCAAAUUGCUCCCAUUUCAAAAGCCAGUGGCUGGCUGAGAAGGACAGCUGCUGGGAAUUACAGUGCAAGAGAAUUAUGGACGGCCUCUACAUUCGAGUCACGUCCAUAUGAGGAACCGGACUGUCUCUAUACCUGGCAGCCGCCGCCUUGAGCAGAGUUCAACCUCACUGGCAUCUCCUGAGAACAGUGAAAAGAUUUAUUAUUCCAGCCAGAGAAAAGGAGAAUUCAAUCUGUUUUUGGCAGAUCAGAACUCACUUCUCUAGGCUCCAAACAUUUUCAAAGUGGAACCCAGCAAUUUUGCCAGUUGUUUUUUUUUUUAAUGUACUGUUACUACUCCCAUUUCUCUAUUUAUUUCCUGUCAAAGCUGUUUAAUCAAAUACAUCUACGAGCAUAUGCACCACAAAUCCUUAUGGUUACUGUCCUCAACAUUCAACUACAACCAUUUGAACUAUACUGAGAUCCUUAAUUUGUUCAACUCUACUGAGAUACUUAAAGCUGCAGUCUGAAUAUGGGAGGUGAUAGUAGAACGAAGAGGAGCUGUAAAAAGAAAGUUAAAAUCAUCACAUACUGACAAGCCAUGCAGAGGACAUAAGCAAUUCUUCUGCAAUAACCAUUUUAUGCCUAAUAACCGUAUUCUUAGGGAACAGAGAUUUUACGAGUUUCUUGGCCUCUUUGGCAGAGAAAGAAAACAUACUGAAACUAGUGGUGUUCAGUUCCAUCCCUUCGUGACUACAAUGUUCCUAUACAGGUAGAAAGUAUUCUGAAGGCCAGAGUGUUUGAACAGUACUUCAUCAAUUCAAAAUGAGUUCAUGCCAAGCUUGCUUGGCACAUUUCUGGUAAGAUGGGCCCCUUUAGUUUUCUCUUACUUUUUAAUAUAUAAUUUCAAAUAUUUUUGAGGUAUGGAUGACAUUUUUAAAAUGCAAAAGCAUUAAAAAAUAACAGAAAACAGAACAAGUUCCAGAGCACCACCGGUUUCCCAUUUGUGCAGCUAUAUCUCAGCCUUCUCUCAUUAGAAGCGCGCAGAAAAGUAGGGAGUUUCAGCCCUUUCAAAACCAUCUCGCACAUCUAAUAAAAUGCUGCCUUCUUACACAGCUGAGAUACCAACAGCAGCGAAACCAAGGAUACCACGGCGUAACAAGGCUUAGUACUAUUUGUAUUUUGAAUGCUUGACUGAAAAAAGAAAACACGGGGAACUUCUCAUUCAGCUGAGUUGGAUGCAAAAGGCACUAAUUUAAGAAGCAGAAGGCAAAACUGUAGCUGCAGAAAGCAAUGAAGUUUUAGGUCUCUAAGUAAAACUGAGCUGGCAGCACCAAGCUCAUGUGCACGCCAAACGCCAGCUGCAAACGAGGACUGUUGUAAACCAC